rnacentral:misc_RNA from 1 species
CCGAGUUGUACAACUCCCACCCUUAACAUCCAUUCGUGGCUCAGGACCCGGAUGCAACACAGUUGACAGCAGGCUGGUCCCAUAACCACCCGCCUGUAGUAUGCCAAACUCUUGUUUAUUAUGGUAUCUCUGAGUAACUAUCAAAUAAGUA